AUUGAACGCUGGCGGCAGGCCUAACACAUGCAAGUCGAACGAGUGGCGGACGGGUGAGUAAUGUCUGGGAAACUGCCUGAUGGAGGGGGAUAACUACUGGAAACGGUAGCUAAUACCGCAUACCAUCGGAUGUGCCCAGAUGGGAUUAGCUAGUAGGUGGGGUAAAGGCUCACAUAGGCGACGAUCCCUAGCUGGUCUGAGAGGAUGACCAGCCUCCCAAUGACUGGGUCAGUACCACGAUGACAGCGAGAGGCAGCAGUCGGUAAGAUUGCACAAUGCGGGCAUGCCUUAUGCAUCCAUGCCGAUUAGAUGAAGAAGGACUUCGGGUAGUGAAGUACUAUCAUCGGGAAAGCGUUACCCGCAGAAGGAGCACCGGCUAACUCCGUGCCAGCCGCCGCGGUAAUAC
rnacentral:rRNA from 1 species